rnacentral:rRNA from 1 species
GUCGAGCGGCAAGGGCCUUCGGGCCCCUAGAGCGGCGGACGGGUGAGUAACACGUGGACAAUCUGCCCCCCGGUCCGGGAUAGCCCAGGGAAACCUGGAUUAAUACCGGAUGCGAGCGCGGCCACACAAGUGGUUGCGGGGAAAGGCGCUUCGGCGCCGCCGGGGGAUGAGUCCGCGGCCCAUUAGCUAGACGGCGGGGUAAAGGCCCACCGUGGCGACGAUGGGUAGCCGGCCUGAGAGGGUGAUCGGCCACAUUGGAACUGAGACACGGUCCAGACUCCUACGGGAGGCAGCAGCUAAGAAUCUUCCGCAAUGGGCGAAAGCCUGACGGAGCGACGCCGCGUGAACGAUGAAGGCCGUGAGGUUGUAAAGUUCUUUUCGGGAGGAGGAAUAAGCGGGGCAGGAAAUGGCCUUGCGAUGACGUGAAUCCCGGAAUAAGCCCCGGCUAACUACGUGCCAGCAGCCGCGGUAACACGUAGGGGGCGAGCGUUGUUCGGAAUCAUUGGGCGUAAAGGGCGUGCAGGCGGCCCUGCAAGUCCGGCGUGAAAUGCCCCGGCUCAACCGGGGAGACGCGCUGGAAACUGCGGGGCUGGAGUACAGGAGGGGAUGCCGGAAUUCCAGGUGUAGGGGUGAAAUCUGUAGAUAUCUGGAGGAACACCAAUGGCGAAGGCAGGCAUCUGGCCAUGUACUGACGCUGAGACGCGAAGGUGCGGGGAGCAAACAGGUUUAGAUACCCUGGUAGUCCGCACAGUAAACGAUGUGCACCAGGUGGCGGGGGGUCGACCCCCGGUACCGAAGCUAACGCAUUAAGUGCACCGCCUGGGGAGUAUGCU